ACACCGAUAGCAAGGAGGGAAAGAGAGGCUGCUGCUCCUGGAAUGUUUUCACCUUGUCUUUCUAUCUAUAGAAGAUGCUGUCUGGGGUAGCAAUUACACGGAACAACGUCCGGAAGAUGCUGAGUGCGAUGCUGUCUGCACUGCAGUCACUGGGAAUGAAGAUUUCACCCCAGGAUCAUUUUAAGUCUGUGUUCCAGUGGCAUUCUUUGCUUUGUUGAUGAGAGAAUGCAGACGGAAAAGAAAGCAAGAAUCUCACACCUCCACCCUACUGCUCUGUUGGUCAUCAGGAUGGAAAAUGUCCACAGCCACCACCAGUCCUGGGGCCUCACUGCUGCAUUCAGCCACAGUCUAGAACAAUCACAUCACUUUGGGACAUGGAUAUGAUCACUCAGCGGGAGCAGCCAGGAAGGCGGAAUCAUGGAAGGCUGGUAGCAAUGCCUGCGUGCCAGGGGAGAAAUGUUGGGCAGCAGCUGCAGCCCCAUGCCUGCAGCUCAGCAGGGUCAGCCCGUGGGCCGAAGCCAGGGCUCCCAGGAGUGCUGUCUCAACCUGGGAGCACAGAAGAGGCCCAGAGCGACAAGUGCAGUGCUGCUCCUGUUAUCAGAGCUGCAGGCACUGCUUUGUUGGCACACUGCUAGGAAUGGCAGGUCGUACUGACUUCACAGAGCAAGGUCCUGAUAAAGGUUUGGAUUCC
rnacentral:lncRNA from 7 species